CCCCUAGAUGUUCUGGGCCGCACACGCGCUACACUGAAGGAGGCAGCGUGUACUCCUGGAUCGAAAGAUUUGGGUAACCCGCGAAUCUCCUUCGUGCUAGGGAUUGAGGUUUGCAAUUAUCCUUCAUGAACGAGGAAUUCCCAGUAAGUGCAAGUCAUAAGCUUGCGCUGACUACGUCCCUGCCCUUUGUACACACCGCCCGUCGCUACUACCGAUUGAAUGAUUUAGUGAGGACUUCGGACUGGGACCGAUGCGGCUUUCGGGCUGCGUCGGUAUUCUGGAAAGAUGUCCAAACUGUAUCAUUUAGAGGAAGUAAAANUCGUANCA
rnacentral:rRNA from 1 species